UCUACAUGAUGAGAUUAUUAUGGAUAAGAGCGAGAAUAUUUCAUUUGCCAAACGGCAGUCAUGCAUCAUCAAUCAUCAUCUCACCCGAAUAAGACCCUCAACAUUUAUUGGAAAGAGCGGCGCUCCAGCUGGGGGUCGGAGGUCAAUGAUGAUGAAAGGUGUCCCUGAGCUCCAGAUGCUCUGUGUGGUCUGGAAGAGCAGGUGCUGCUGGGAGAACACUGAAAGGGCCCUCCCCAAUGUUUCCAGAGCGGCGUACAGCUGGGGGUCGGAGGUCAAUGAUGAUGACAGGUGUCCCUGAGCUCCAGAUGCUCUGUGUGGUCUUGAAGAGCAGGUGCUGCUGGGAGAACACUGAAAGGUUCUCCCAGCAGAGAACCUUUCAUUUAGAUUCAACCUACAAAUAGAGAUGGAUUUCAAACCAACAACUACUGUAUGUACAUUACAUUGUACAGGGGGAUGCAGCAGUGUUAACACUGGGGUGAGUUUGGCAAAACGUUUGUGGCAAUAAGAUCAUUGUUCAUCCAUUUCCUACCAAUGGAUUUAAAAUGAUCUUAGUGCUACAAACGUUUUAGGAAACUCAGCCCUGGACAGGUUUUGUCUCAACAUGCAGCAGACACUUGGUGCUGGAUCUCUCACUGAAUAAUGUAUUGGUUCAUUCUAAGCCCCAGCUAUUAAAACACACGCACACAUGCUGCACAACUCUGAUGCAACUAACUAGCAACAACAAACAUUACGCCAAUGCCAGAGGACUGUCUUAGGCCAGAGGACUGUCUUAGGCCAGAGGACUGUCUUGGGCCAGAGGACUGUCUUAGAUCAUUGAUGAUCACUUUCAUGACAGCUAAGGAGCAUUUCAAUAAUGUUGCAAGUAGCUGCAUAGAGUGAAUAUGAGAGUGAGACUAUGUAUUUAUUAUUGAUGUGCUGAGAGGGUUAGCUGAGAUCAACAUCUUGUGUCCAAGAGGUGAUGUAAAACACAAUACACCUCACCUCACCCAACACCUGCCAGCUGAGCUGGGAAUGUUGGUUGUGUGUUAGAAACAGACAGACCAAUUGUUUAGCAAACCUAUCAGAUCGUCAUUCACUUUUCAGCUUCAAUGUAUACACAUUUGUAUUUGUGUGUAAAAAGGGCCAGCUCCAGUCAGCUGAUUCUAGCCAUCCCUUCUGGUUACUUCUAGUCAGGCAGCUUAGUCUCCCAUUCAGAGAACCCCCAUUUAUGUUAGUGUCUUAUUGGUCAAGGUCACGCCAAUUACUUAUCACAACAUCUCCUUCAGCCUAUCAGCUAUCAGCAGCCUAGAUUCCUGGGACUUCUGUUUCAGUUAGUGUAGGACCUCAGCACACUGUGUGGUCAGAAACAUGCUUUCCCCAUCCUGAUGAGCAUGACCAGUUUUUCCCUCCUGCUGAGAAAAAAACGAAUGUGUGCUGACUCCCUGUCUGUAUGAUAUAUUAUUGUGUGUGCAUUUAAAUAACCACAAUUACUGUCAGAGUGGUGUUGGAUGUUUAUGUGUGUGUGUGGAUCAUUUAUUA